rnacentral:rRNA from 1 species
CAUGGCCUUUAUACCCUGGGCUACACACACGCUACAAUGGAUGGUACAAUGGGUUGCCACCGGGCGACCGGGAGCUAAUCCCCAAAACCAUCCUCAGUUCGGAUCGCAGGCUGAAACCCGCCUGCGUGAAGUCGGAGUUGCUAGUAAACGCGUGUCAGCAUAGCGCGUUGAAUACGUUCUCGGGCCUU